rnacentral:rRNA from 1 species
UACGGGGGGAGCAAGCGUUGUUCGGAUUUACUGGGCGUAAAGGGCGCGUAGGCGGCCACCGCAAGUCGACUGUGAAAUCUCCGGGCUUAACCCGGAAAGGUCAGCCGAUACUGCGGGGCUAGAGUGCAGAAGGGGCAACUGGAAUUCUCGGUGUAGCGGUGAAAUGCGUAGAUAUCGAGAGGAACACCUGCGGCGAAGGCGGGUUGCUGGGCUGACACUGACGCUGAUGUGCGAAAGCUAGGGGGAGCGAACGGG